UAUUUCAAAGCAUUUGUUUAUGCUAAAAAAAACACCUACCUAUCUUAAUCCCUACUCUUCACAGCCGCUCAUCCAAGACUUAGGAAAACAAAUUCUUAGCUUUCUUUCUCCUUAGUAAAAAGAUGAACCGACAUUUUCCUUUGAACCAUGAUUCCUCUCAAAACAAACACUCCUUGAUCCCUGCAACAACCCUCAGCCUAGAUUUAAAAGAAAAGGAUUAUAUUUACUCUGAUGAAAAGGUUUUCUUCGUUCCAAUGAUGAAUCAAAGGCUGCGUUUCUCAAACGAAGAAGGUCUCUAUUGAUGAUGCUUGGCGAGGGGUCUCUAUUGAUAGCUUCGAAGGACUGUGAUGAGGGUGGUUGGUUAGGGUUUUUAACGCCUUAAAUUUUAUGGGGGGUUUUCUUAUGAUACUACAGUUUUUUAUAUUUUUAUUCUAUUUUUUUUGUUAUUUUCACUGUAUUUUUUAGUUUGUUCAGGAUCGAUGAUAGAGACUGGGAGCUCUGGUGACCUGCAGCGAGAGAGGCUUUGACUAGUGGUGACGGCGCAACUCUUUUUCUCCUUAGUGGUUACAGUAGCUAGGUUAAGUUAGGAUUUGGUGUUUUGGGCUAGGUUUAGGUUUAUGUGAGUAAAUGAGUUUGGUAUUGUAAUGGUCCCAAUGAAACUCAAAUAUAGAUCCUAUACAUAAUUUGUAUCUACAGCUGUCCGUCUUUGUUCAUUAUGUGAAACAUAAAUAGAGCAAAGAUCAAAAGAUGGUUAAUUUUAUCGGUGGGAUAGUUUAGGGUCUAUUUAGGGUCUCAAAAUACCUUGGAAGGUCAAUCUGCUUAUUGCAA